rnacentral:rRNA from 1 species
GUCGAGCGAACGGACGAGAAGCUUGCUUCGUCUGAUGUUAGCGGCGGACGGGUGAGUAACACGUGGAUAACCUACCUAUAAGACUGGGAUAACUUCGGGAAACCGGAGCUAAUACCGGAUAAUAUUUUGAACCGCAUGGUUCAAAAGUGAAAGACGGUCUUGCUGUCACUUAUAGAUGGAUCCGCGCUGCAUUAGCUAGUUGGUAAGGUAACGGCUUACCAAGGCAACGAUGCAUAGCCGACCUGAGAGGGUGAUCGGCCACACUGGAACUGAGACACGGUCCAGACUCCUACGGGAGGCAGCAGUAGGGAAUCUUCCGCAAUGGGCGAAAGCCUGACGGAGCAACGCCGCGUGAGUGAUGAAGGUCUUCGGAUCGUAAAACUCUGUUAUUAGGGAAGAACAUAUGUGUAAGUAACUGUGCACAUCUUGACGGUACCUAAUCAGAAAGCCACGGCUAACUACGUGCCAGCAGCCGCGGUAAUACGUAGGUGGCAAGCGUUAUCCGGAAUUAUUGGGCGUAAAGCGCGCGUAGGCGGUUUUUUAAGUCUGAUGUGAAAGCCCACGGCUCAACCGUGGAGGGUCAUUGGAAACUGGAAAACUUGAGUGCAGAAGAGGAAAGUGGAAUUCCAUGUGUAGCGGUGAGAUGCGCAGAGAUAUGGAGGAACACCAGUGGCGAAGGCGACUUUCUGGUCUGUAACUGACGCUGAUGUGCGAAAGCGUGGGGAU